CCAAUAGCGUAUAUUAAAGUUGUUGCAGUUAAAAAGCUCGUAGUUGAAUUUCGGGAUCAAUAUGUCGGUCGUGCCUUCGGUACGUACUGGCAUCAUUGGUUUCUCCCUUCUGACAAACCAUGAUGUCAUUAAUUUGGUGUUAUGGGGAGUUAGGACUGUUACUUUGAAAAAAUUAGAGUGUUUAAAGCAGGCAUUAGCUUGAAUACAUUAGCAUGGAAUAAUGAAAUAGGACGUUUGACCCUAUUUUGUUGGUUUCUAGGAUCAACGUAAUGAUUAAUAGGGAUAGUUGGGGGCAUUAGUAUUCAAUUGUCAGAGGUGAAAUUCUUGGAUUUAUUGAAGACUAACUACUGCGAAAGCAUUUGCCAAGGAUGUUUUCAUUAAUCAAGAACGAAAGUUAGGGGAUCGAAGACGAUCAGAUACCGUCGUAGUCUUAACCAUAAACUAUGCCGACUAGGGAUCGGAUGAUGU
rnacentral:rRNA from 1 species